UGGGGAAUAUUGCGCAAUGGGCGAAAGCCUGACGCAGCGACGCCGCGUGAGGGAUGAAGGUUUUCGGAUCGUAAACCUCUGUCAGAAGGGAAGAAACUACAUUGUGCUAAUCAGCAGUGUACUGACGGUACCUUCAAAGGAAGCACCGGCUAACUCCGUGCCAGCAGCCGCGGUAAUACGGGGGGUGCAAGCGUUAAUCGGAAUUACUGGGCGUAAAGCGCACGUAGGCUGUAGUGUGAGUCAGGGGUGAAAUCCCACGGCUCAACCGUGGAACUGCCUUUGAUACUGCACAACUUGAAUCCGGGAGAGGGUGGCGGAAUUCCAGGUGUAGGAGUGAAAUCCGUAGAUAUCUGGAGGAACAUCAGUGGCGAAGGCGGCCACCUGGACCGGUAUUGACGCUGAGGUGCGAAAGCGUGGGGAGCAAACAG
rnacentral:rRNA from 1 species